GGGGGGGUCCAAAUAUUCUUUUAACUCAUCAAAUAGGAGAUAGCUAAUUUUUUUAGCCUAACUGAUCCAAACAAGGGAACAUGAGAAUUGAUUGAUAAAUUCUUGGAAUCGGCCACAUGAUACCCGUCAAUUUCUCAACCAAAGAUCAUUUCUCAAUCAGAAAACCAAAGCUUGUCUACUAAUCCAUCCGUUUUAAAAUGCAAGUAGUUUUGAAUUUUUUAUACAGAUAGGUCCUGCUAUGCACCUAAAUAUAGAGUUAUACCUAGAUAAAUAACAUCUAUAGCCUUGACCAGAGCUUGGAAACCCCUUGCAACUGUAGCAGCCACCAUGGGAGUUGGAGGUGGUUUCUAGGGUUUCACUACGACACUACCUGGAAGGCUUAUUAUAGGGAGAAGUUGUAGGGAGAAGUUGGGCCGAGUGGAACAAAUGAGGCUGUAGAGGCUUAUUAUAGGGAGAGGGGUCUGGCCCAGUGGAACGAAUGGGAGGGAAAAAUAUUCAUGGAGGGGGGGUGUGUGUGUGUGGGGGGGUCCAAAUAUUCCUUUAACUGAUAAAAUAGGAGAUAGCUAAUUUUUUUAGCCUAACUGAUCCAAACAAGGGAACAUGAGAAUUUAUUGAUAAAUUCUUGGAAUCGGCCACAUGAUACCCGUCAAUUUCUCAACCAAAGAUCAUUUCUCAAUCAGAAAACAAAAGAUUGUCUACUACUCCAUCUGUUUCAAAAUGCAAGUAGUUUUGAAUUUUCUAUACAGAUAGGUCCUGCUAUGCACCUAAAUAUAGAGUUAUACCUAGAUAAAUAACAUCUAUAGCCUUGACCGGAGCUUGGAGAUCCCUUGCAAUUGUAGCAGCCGCCAUGGGAGUUGGAGGUGUUGUCUAGGGUUUCACUACGACACUACCUGGAAGGCUUAUUAUAGGGAGAAGUUGUAGGAAAAAGUUGGGCCGAGUGGAAUGAAUGAGGCUGUAGAGGCUUAUUAUAGGGAGAGGGGUCUGGCCCAGUGGAACGAAUGGGAGGGAAAAAUGUUCAUGGAGGGGUGUGUGUGUGGGGGGGUCCAAAUAUUCCUUUAACUGAUCAAAUAGGAGAUAGCUAAUUUUUUUAGCCUAACUGAUCCAAACAAGGGAACAUGAGAAUUGAUUGAUAAAUUCUUGGAAUCGGCCACAUGAUACCCGUCAAUUUCUCAACCAAAGAUCAUUUCUCAAUCAGAAAACCAAAGCUUGUCUACUACUCCAUUCGUUUCAAAAUGCAAGUAGUUUUAAAUUUUCUAUAAAGAUAGGUCCUGCUAUGCACCGAAAUAUAGAGUUAUACCUAGAUAAAUAACAUCUAUAGCCUUAACCAGAGCUUGGAGACCCCUUGCAAGUGUAGCAGCCGCCAUGGGAGUUGGAGGUGUUGUCUAGGGUUUCACUACGACACUACCUGGAAGGCUUAUUAUAGGGAGAAGUUGUAGGGAGAAGUUGGACUUAGUGGAACGAAUGAGGCUGGAGAGGCUUAUUAUAGGGAGAGGGGUCUGGCCCAGUGGAACGAAUGGGAGGGGAAAAUGUUUAUGGAGGGGUGUGUGUGUGUGGGGGGGUCCAAAUAUUCCUUUAACUGAUCAAAUAGGAGAUAGCUAAUUUUUUUAGCCUAACUGAUCCAAACAAGGGAACAUGAGAAUUGAUUGAUAAAUUCUUGGAAUCGGCCACAUGAUACCCGUCAAUUUCUCAACCAAAGAUCAUUUCUCAAUCAGAAAACCAAAGCUUGUCUACUACUCCAUCCGUUUCAAAAUGCAAGUAGUUUUGAAUUUUCUAUACAAAUAGGUCCUGCUAUGCACCUAAAUAUAGAGUUAUACCUAGAUUAAUAACAUCUAUAGCCUUGACCAGAGCUUGGAGACCCCUUGCAACUGUAGCAGCCGCCAUGGGAGUUGGAGGUGUUGUCUAGGGUUUCACUACGACACUACCUGGAAGGCUUAUUAUAGGGAGAAGUUGUAGGGAGAAGUUGGGCCGAGUGGAACGAAUGAGGCUGUAGAGGCUUAUUAUAGGGAGAGGGGUCUGGCCCAAUGGAACGAAUGGGAGGGAAAAAUGUUCAUGGAGGGGUGUGUGUGUGGGGGGGUCCAAAUAUUUCUUUAACUGAUCAAAUAGGAGAUAGCUAAUUUUUUUAGCCUAACUGAUCCAAACAAGGGAACAUGAGAAUUGAUUGAUAAAUUCUUGGAAUCGGCCACAUGAUACCCGUCAAUUUCUCAACCAAAGAUCAUUUCUCAAUCAGAAAACCAAAGCUUGUCUACUACUCCAUCCGUUUCAAAAUGCAAGUAGUUUUGAAUUUUCUAUACAGAUAGGUCCUGCUAUGCACCUAAAUAUAGAGUUGUACCUAGAUAAAUAACAUCUAUACCCUUGACUAGAGCUUGGAGACCCCUUGCAACUGUAGCAUCCGCCAUGGGAGUUGGAGGUGUUGUCUAGGGUUUCACUACGACACUACCUAGAAGGUUUAUUAUAGGGAGAAGUUGUAGGGAGAAGUUGGGCCGAGUGGAACGAAUGAGGCUGUAGAGGCUUAUUAUAGGGAGAGGGGUCUGGCCCAGUGGAACGAAUGGGAGGGAAAAAUAUUCAUGGAGGGGUGUGUGUGUGUGUGGGGGGGGGGGGGGUCCAAAUAUUCUUUAACUGAUAAAAUUGGAGAUAGCUAAUUUUUUUGGCCUAACUGAUCCAAACAAGGGAACAUGAGAAUUGAUUGAUAAAUUCUUGGAAUCGGCCACAUGAUACCCGUCAAUUUCUCAACCAAAGAUCAUUUCUCAAUCAGAAAACAAAAGAUUGUCUACUACUCCAUCCGUUUCAAAAUGCAAGUAGUUUUGAAUUUUCUAUACAGAUAGGUCCUGCUAUGCACCUAAAUAUAGAGUUAUACCUAGAUAAAUAACAUCUAUAGCCUUGACCGGAGCUUGGAGAUCCCUUGCAACUGUAGCAGCCGCCAUGGGAGUUGGAGGUGUUGUCUAGGGUUUCACUACGACACUACCUGGAAGGCUUAUUAUAGGGAGAAGUUGUAGGGAGAAGUUGGGCCGAGUGGAAGGAAUGAGGCUGUAGAGGCUUAUUAUAGGGAGAGGGGUUUGGCCCAGUGGAACGAAUGGGAGGGAAAAAUGUUCAUGGAGGGGUGUGUGGGGGGGGGUCCAAAUAUUUCUUUAACUGAUCAAAUAGGAGAUAGCUAAUUUUUUUAGCCUAACUGAUCCAAACAAGGGAACAUGAGAAUUGAUUGAUAAAUUCUUGGAAUCGGCCACAUGAUACCCGUCAAUUUCUCAACCAAAGAUCAUUUCUCAAUAAGAAAACCAAAGCUUGUCUACUACUCUAUCCGUUUCAAAAUGCAAGUAGUUUUGAAUUUUCUAUACAGAUAGGUCCUGCUAUGCACCUAAAUAUAGAGUUAUACCUAGAUAAAUAACAUCUAUAGCCUUGACCGGAGCUUGGAGAUCCCUUGCAACUGUAGCAGCCGCCAUGGGAGUUGGAGGUGUUGUCUAGGGUUUCACUACGACACUACCUGGAAGGCUUAUUAUAGGGAGAAGUUGUAGGGAGAAGUUGGGCCGAGUGGAAGGAAUGAGGCUGUAGAGGCUUAUUAUAGGGAGAGGGGUUUGGCCCAGUGGAACGAAUGGGAGGGAAAAAUGUUCAUGGAGGGGUGUGUGGGGGGGGGGUCCAAAUAUUUCUUUAACUGAUCAAAUAGGAGAUAGCUAAUUUUUUUAGCCUAACUGAUCCAAACAAGGGAACAUGAGAAUUGAUUGAUAAAUUCUUGGAAUCGGCCACAUGAUACCCGUCAAUUUCUCAACCAAAGAUCAUUUCUCAAUAAGAAAACCAAAGCUUGUCUACUACUCUAUCCGUUUCAAAAUGCAAGUAGUUUUGAAUUUUCUAUACAGAUAGGUCCUGCUAUGCACCUAAAUAUAGAGUUAUACCUAGAUAAAUAACAUCUAUAGCCUUGACCAGAGCUUGGAGACCCCUUGCAACUGUAGCAGCCGCCAUGGGAGUUGGAGGUGUUGUCUAGGGUUUCACUACGACACUACCUGGAAGGCUUAUUAUAGGGAGAAGUUGUAGGGAGAAGUUGGGCCGAGUGGAAGGAAUGAUGCUGUAGAGGCUUAUUAUAGGGAUAGGGGUCUGGCCCAGUGGAACGAAUGGGAGGGAAAAAUGUUCAUGGAGGGGUGUGUGGGGGGGGGUCCAAAUAUUUUUCUUUAACUGAUCAAAUAGGAGAUAGCUAAUUUUUUUAGCCUAACUGAUCCAAACAAGGGAACAUGAGAAUUGAUUGAUAAAUUCUUGGAAUCGGCCACAUGAUACCCGUCAAUUUCUCAACCAAAGAUCAUUUCUCAAUAAGAAAACCAAAGCUUGUCUACUACUCUAUCCGUUUCAAAAUGCAAGUAGUUUUAAAUUUUCUAUAUAGAUAGGUCCUCCUAUGCACCUAAAUAUAGAGUUAUACCUAGAUAAUUAACAUCUAUAGCCUUAACCAGAGCUUGGAGACCCCUUGCAACUGUAGCAGCCGCCAUGAAAGUUGGAGGUGUUGUCUAGGGUUUCACUACGACACUACCUGGAAGGCUUAUUAUAGGGAGAAGUUGUAGGGAGAAGUUGGGCCGAGUGGAAGGAAUGAGGCUGUAGAGGCUUAUUAUAGGGAGAGGGGUUUGGCCCAGUGGAACGAAUGGGAGGGAAAAAUGUUCAUGGAGGGGUGUGUGGGGGGGGGUCCAAAUAUUUCUUUAACUGAUCAAAUAGGAGAUAGCUAAUUUUUUUAGCCUAACUGAUCCAAACAAGGGAACAUGAGAAUUGAUUGAUAAAUUCUUGGAAUCGGCCACAUGAUACCCGUCAAUUUCUCAACCAAAGAUCAUUUCUCAAUAAGAAAACCAAAGCUUGUCUACUACUCUAUCCGUUUCAAAAUGCAAGUAGUUUUGAAUUUUCUAUACAGAUAGGUCCUGCUAUGCACCUAAAUAUAGAGUUAUACCUAGAUAAAUAACAUCUAUAGCCUUGACCGGAGCUUGGAGAUCCCUUGCAACUGUAGCAGCCGCCAUGGGAGUUGGAGGUGUUGUCUAGGGUUUCACUACGACACUACCUGGAAGGCUUAUUAUAGGGAGAAGUUGUAGGGAGAAGUUGGGCCGAGUGGAAGGAAUGAGGCUGUAGAGGCUUAUUAUAGGGAGAGGGGUUUGGCCCAGUGGAACGAAUGGGAGGGAAAAAUGUUCAUGGAGGGGUGUGUGGGGGGGGGGGGGUCCAAAUAUUUCUUUAACUGAUCAAAUAGGAGAUAGCUAAUUUUUUAGCCUAACUGAUCCAAACAAGGGAACAUGAGAAUUGAUUGAUAAAUUCUUGGAAUCGGCCACAUGAUACCCGUCAAUUUCUCAACCAAAGAUCAUUUCUCAAUAAGAAAACCAAAGCUUGUCUACUACUCUAUCCGUUUCAAAAUGCAAGUAGUUUUGAAUUUUCUAUACAGAUAGGUCCUGCUAUGCACCUAAAUAUAGAGUUAUACCUAGAUAAAUAACAUCUAUAGCCUUGACCAGAGCUUGGAGACCCCUUGCAACUGUAGCAGCCGCCAUGGGAGUUGGAGGUGUUGUCUAGGGUUUCACUACGACACUACCUGGAAGGCUUAUUAUAGGGAGAAGUUGUAGGGAGAAGUUGGGCCGAGUGGAAGGAAUGAGGCUGUAGAGGCUUAUUAUAGGGAUAGGGGUCUGGCCCAGUGGAACGAAUGGGAGGGAAAAAUGUUCAUGGAGGGGUGUGUGGGGGGGGGGUCCAAAUAUUUUCUUUAACUGAUCAAAUAGGAGAUAGCUAAUUUUUUUAGCCUAACUGAUCCAAACAAGGGAACAUGAGAAUUGAUUGAUAAAUUCUUGGAAUCGGCCACAUGAUACCCGUCAAUUUCUCAACCAAAGAUCAUUUCUCAAUAAGAAAACCAAAGCUUGUCUACUACUCUAUCCGUUUCAAAAUGCAAGUAGUUUUAAAUUUUCUAUAUAGAUAGGUCCUCCUAUGCACCUAAAUAUAGAGUUAUACCUAGAUAAUUAACAUCUAUAGCCUUAACCAGAGCUUGGAGACCCCUUGCAACUGUAGCAGCCGCCAUGGAAGUUGGAGGUGUUGUCUAGGGUUUCACUACGACACUACCUGGAAGGCUUAUUAUAGGGAGAAGUUGUAGGGAGAAGUUGGGCCGAUUGGAACGAAUGAGGCUGUAGAGGCUUAUUAUAGGGAGAGGGGUCUAGCCCAGUGGAACGAAUGGGAGGGGAAAAUGUUUAUGGAGGGGUGUGUGUGUGGGGGGGGGGGGUCGAAAUAUUCCUUUAACUGAUCAAAUAGGAGAUAGCUAAUUUUUUUAGCCUAACUAAUCCAAACAAGGGAACAUGAGAAUUGAUUGAUAAAUUCUUGGAAUCGUCCACAUGAUACCCGUCAAUUUCUCAACCAAAGAUCAUUUCUCAAUCAGAAAACCAAAGCUUGUCUACUACUCCAUUCGUUUGAAAAUGCAAGUACUUUUGAAUUUUCUAUACAGAUAGGUCCUGCUAUGCACCUAAAUAUAGAGUUAUACCUAGAUUAAUAACAUCUAUAGCCUUGACCAGAGCUUGGAGACCCCUUGCAACUGUAGCAGCCGCCAUGGGAAUUGGAGGUGUUGUCUAGGGUUUCACUACGACACUACCUGGAAGGCUUAUUAUAGGGAGAAGUUGUAGGGAGAAGUUGGGCCGAGUGGAACGAAUGAGGCUGUAGAGGCUUAUUAUAGGGAGAGGGGUCUGGCCCAAUGGAACGAAUGGGAGGGAAAAAUGUUCAUGGAGGGGUGUGUGGGGGGGUCCAAAUAUUUCUUUAACUGAUCAAAUAGGAGAUAGCAAAUUUUUUUAGCCAAACUGAUCCAAAUAAGGGAACAUGAGAAUUGAUUGAUAAAUUCUUGGAAUCGGCCACAUGAUACCCGUCAAUUUUUCAACCAAAGAUCAUUUCUCAAUCAGAAAACCAAAGGUUGUCUACUACUCCAUCCGUUUCAAAAUGCAAGUAGUUUUGAAUUUUCUAUACAGAUAGGUGCUGCUAUUCACCUAAAUAUAGAGUUGUACCUAGAUAAAUAACAUCUAUAGCCUUGACCAGAGCUUGGAGACCCCUUGCAACUGUAGCAUCCGACAUGGGAGUUGGAGGUGUUGUCUAGGGUUUCACUACGACACUACCUCGAAGGUUUAUUAUAGGGAGAAGUUGUAGGGAGAAGUUGGGCCGAGUGGAACGAAUGAGGCUGUAGAGGCUUAUUAUAGGGAGAGGGGUCUGGCCCAGUGGAACGAAUGGGAGGGAAAAAUAUUCAUGGAGGGGUGUGUGUGUGUGGGGGGGGGGGUCCAAAUAUUCCUUUAACUGAUAAAAUUGGAGAUAGCUAAUUUUUUUGGCCUAACUGAUCCAAACAAGGGAACAUGAGAAUUGAUUGAUAAAUUCUUGGAAUCGGCCACAUGAUACCCGUCAAUUUCUCAACCAAAGAUCAUUUCUCAAUCAGAAAACAAAAGAUUGUCUACUACUCCAUCCGUUUCAAAAUGCAAGUAGUUUUGAAUUUUCUAUACAGAUAGGUCCUGCUAUGCACCUAAAUAUAGAGUUAUACCUAGAUAAAUAACAUCUAUAGCCUUGACCGGAGCUUGGAGAUCCCUUGCAACUGUAGCAGCCGCCAUGGGAGUUGGAGGUGUUGUCUAGGGUUUCACUACGACACUACCUGGAAGGCUUAUUAUAGGGAGAAAUUGUAGGGAGAAGUUGGGCCGAGUGGAAGGAAUGAGGCUGUAGAGGCUUAUUAUAGGGAGAGGGGUCUGGCCCAGUGGAACGAAUGGGAGGGAAAAAUGUUCACGGAGGGGUGUGUGUGGGGGGGGUCCAAAUAUUUCUUUAACUGAUCAAAUAGGAGAUAGCUAAUUUUUUUAGCCUAACUGAUCCAAACAAGGGAACAUGAGAAUUGAUUGAUAAAUUCUUGGAAUCGGCCACAUGAUACCCGUCAAUUUCUCAACCAAAGAUCAUUUCUCAAUAAGAAAACCAAAGCUUGUCUACUACUCUAUCCGUUUCAAAAUGCAAGUAGUUUUGAAUUUUCUAUACAGAUAGGUCCUCCUAUGCACCUAAAUAUAGAGUUAUACCUAGAUAAUUAACAUCUAUAGCCUUAACCAGAGCUUGGAGACCCCUUGCAACUGUAGCAGCCGCUAUGGAAGUUGGAGGUGUUUUCUAGGGUUUCACUACGACACUACCUGGAAGGCUUAUUAUAGGGAGAAGUUGUAGGGAGAAGUUGGGCCGAUUGGAACGAAUGAGGCUGUAGAGGCUUAUUAUAGGGAGAGGGGUCUGGCCCAGUGGAACGAAUGGGAGGGGAAAAUGUUUAUGGAGGGGUGUGUGUGUGUGGGGGGGGGUCCAAAUAUUCCUUUAACUGAUCAAAUAGGAGAUAGCUAAUUUUUUUAGCCUAACUAAUCCAAACAAGGGAACAUGAGAAUUGAUUGAUAAAUUCUUGGAAUCGGCCACAUGAUACCCGUCAAUUUCUCAACCAAAGAUCAUUUCUCAAUCAGAAAACCAAAGCUUGUCUACUACUCCAUCCGUUUCAAAAUGCAAGUAGUUUUGAAUUUUCUAUACAGAUAGGUCCUGCUAUGCACCUAAAUAUAGAGUUAUACCUAGAUUAAUAACAUCUAUAGCCUUGACCAGAGCUUGGAGACCCCUUGCAACUGUAGCAGCCGCCAUGGGAGUUGGAGGUGUUGUCUACGGUUUCACUACGACACUACCUGGAAGGCUUAUUAUAGGGAGAAGUUGUAGGGAGAAGUUGGGCCGAGUGGAACGAAUGAGGUUGUAGAGGCUUAU
rnacentral:lncRNA from 1 species